rnacentral:rRNA from 1 species
GUGGGGAAUAUUGGACAAUGGGCGAAAGCCUGAUCCAGCCAUGCCGCGUGUGUGAAGAAGGUCUUCGGAUUGUAAAGCACUUUAAGUUGGGAGGAAGGGCAGUAAGUUAAUACCUUGCUGUUUUGACGUUACCGACAGAAUAAGCACCGGCUAACUUCGUGCCAGCAGCCGCGGUAAGACGGAGGGUGCAAGCGUUGUUCGGAAUUACUGGGCGUAAAGCGUAUGUAGGCGGCAAGUUAAGUUCAAUGUUAAAGCCCACGGCUCAACCGAGGAGAUGCAUUGAAUACUGGCUAGCUAGAGGGUGUUAGAGGAAGACGGAAUUCCCAGUGUAGCGGUGAAAUGCGUAGAUAUAGGAAGGAACACCAGUGGCGAAGGCGACUACCUGGACUGAUACUGACACUGAGGUGCGAAAGCGUGGGGAGCAAACAGGAUUAGAAACCCCGGUAGUCC